rnacentral:rRNA from 1 species
UUUCCUACGGGAGGCAGCAGUGAGGAAUAUUGGUCAAUGGACGAGAGUCUGAACCAGCCAAGUAGCGUGAAGGAUGACUGCCCUAUGGGUUGUAAACUUCUUUUAUAUGGGAAUAAAACGUUCUACGUGUGGGUUUUUGUAUGUACCAUAUGAAUAAGGAUCGGCUAACUCCGUGCCAGCAGCCGCGGUAAUACGGAGGAUCCGAGCGUUAUCCGGAUUUAUUGGGUUUAAAGGGAGCGUAGGUGGAUUGUUAAGUCAGUUGUGAAAGUUUGCGGCUCAACCGUAGAAUUGCAGCUGAAACUGGG